UUGGACGGGGGUUUAUGGAGUUUGGGACUAAAGACGGAAACGGUGAAGGACAUCGAGAGAAGAGGGACCUCGACUGUCUUUAUCAGACCUAAGAACCUGAAGACAAAUGACAAAGACACAGGAGAGUCUUCAUCCACUGUCGCUAUUGUUGAUGACACCAGGCCACAAAUCAGAUAGCUUUCCUGUUCCAUGUGGCCUGCAUGAUUGUUCACUGUCCUGAAGAAGCAGCAGUAGCAGGACAACGCUGCUGAGGACUUGCAUGAAAAACAAGCCCCUUGCUGCGCGCUGCAAAUGUGUGGAUACCAGGUGAACUGUAUCCUCUGCAUGCUUUUGGUCACAGUGGAAAAAACAUCUAAAACAUGACUUCAAAGUAAGUUCAUUCAAAAUAAAGUUAGCAAAGUUGUCUCCUUCAUGAAGUGAACUUAA